rnacentral:rRNA from 1 species
GACGAACGCUGGCGGCGUGCUUAACACAUGCAAGUCACGGGGGUUGGAGCAAUCCAGCAACCGGCGAACGGGUGCGUAACACGUGAGCGACCUGCCCAGUUGCGGGGGAUAGCCGGCCCAACGGCCGGGUAAUACCGCAUACGCGGAUCGGGGGCAUUCCUUGAUGCGGAAACCUACGGGGCAAUUGGAGGGGCUCGCGGCCUAUCAGCUUGUUGGCGGGGUAAUGGCCCACCAAGGCGAUGACGGGUAGCUGGUCUGAGAGGAUGGCCAGCCACAUUGGGACUGAGAGACGGCUUAGACUCCUACGGGAGGCAGCAGUGGGGAAUCUUGCGCAAUGGCCGAAAGGCUGACGCAGCGACGCCGCGUGGAGGAUGACGCCUCGUCGGUACGUACGUACG